rnacentral:rRNA from 1 species
CGAGGCCGAAAGGCGUAGUCGAUGGGAAACAGGUUAAUAUUCCUGUACUUGGUGUUACUGCGAAGGGGGGACGGAGAAGGCUAUGUUGGCCGGGCGACGGUUGUCCCGGUUUAAGCGUGUAGGCUGGUUUUCCAGGCAAAUCCGGAAAAUCAAGGCUGAGGCGUGAUGACGAGGCACUACGGUGCUGAAGCAACAAAUGCCCUGCUUCCAGGAAAAGCCUCUAAGCAUCAGGUAACAUCAAAUCGUACCCCAAACCGACACAGGUGGUCAGGUAGAGAAUACCAAGGCGCUUGAGAGAACUCGGGUGAAGGAACUAGGCAAAAUGGUGCCGUAACUUCGGGAGAAGGCACGCUGAUAUGUAGGUGAAGUCCCUUGCGGAUGGAGCUGAAAUCAGUCGAAGAUACCAGCUGGCUGCAACUGUUUAUUAAAAACACAGCACUGUGCAAACACGAAAGUGGACGUAUACGGUGUGACGCCUGCCCGGUGCCGGAAGGUUAAUUGAUGGGGUCAGCGCAAGCGAAGCUCUUGAUCGAAGCCCCGGUAAACGGCGGCCGUAACUAUAACGGUCCUAAGGUAGCGAAAUUCCUUGUCGGGUAAGUUCCGACCUGCACGAAUGGCGUAAUGAUGGCCAGGCUGUCUCCACCCGAGACUCAGUGAAAUUGAACUCGCUGUGAAGAUGCAGUGUACCCGCGGCAAGACGGAAAGACCCCGUGAACCUUUACUAUAGCUUGACACUGAACAUUGAGCCUUGAUGUGUAGGAUAGGUGGGAGGCUUUGAAGUGUGGACGCCAGUCUGCAUGGAGCCGGCCUUGAAAUACCACCCUUUAAUGUUUGAUGUUCUAACGUGGACCCGUGAUCCGGGUUGCGGACAGUGUCUGGUGGGUAGUUUGACUGGGGCGGUCUCCUCCUAAAGAGUAACGGAGGAGCACGAAGGUUGGCUAAUCCUGGUCGGACAUCAGGAGGUUAGUGCAAUGGCAUAAGCCAGCUUGACUGCGAGCGUGACGGCGCGAGCAGGUGCGAAAGCAGGUCAUAGUGAUCCGGUGGUUCUGAAUGGAAGGGCCAUCGCUCAACGGAUAAAAGGUACUCCGGGGAUAACAGGCUGAUACCGCCCAAGAGUUCAUAUCGACGGCGGUGUUUGGCACCUCGAUGUCGGCUCAUCACAUCCUGGGGCUGAAGUAGGUCCCAAGGGUAUGGCUGUUCGCCAUUUAAAGUGGUACGCGAGCUGGGUUUAGAACGUCGUGAGACAGUUCGGUCCCUAUCUGCCGUGGGCGCUGGAGAACUGAGGGGGGCUGCUCCUAGUACGAGAGGACCGGAGUGGACGCAUCACUGGUGUUCGGGUUGUCAUGCCAAUGGCACUGCCCGGUAGCUAAAUGCGGAAGAGAUAAGUGCUGAAAGCAUCUAAGCACGAAACUUGCCCCGAGAUGAGUUCUCCCUGACCCUUUAAGGGUCCUGAAGGAACGUUGAAGACGACGACGUUGAUAGGCCGGGUGUGUAAGCGCAGCGAUGCGUUGAGCUAACCGGUACUAAUGAACCGUGAGG